rnacentral:rRNA from 1 species
UACGUUCCCGGGCCUUGUACACACCGCCCGUCACACCACGAAAGUGGGUAACACCCGAAGCCGGUGGCCCAACCCUUGUGGAGGGAGCCGUCGAAGGUGGGACUCGCGAUUGGGGUG